rnacentral:misc_RNA from 1 species
CAGAGUUAUCUAAACUCCCAACCCAUGUGAACUUACCAUUGUUGCCUCGGCAGAACCUACCCUGUAGCGACUGCCGGUGGACUUCUAAACUCUUGUUAUUUUAAAAGUAAUCUGAGCGUCUUAUUUUAAUAAGUUA